GAUAAACGCUGGCGGCGUGCAUAACACAUGCAAGUCGAACGAUGAAGCUUAAAUGAUCUCUUCGGAGUGACUUUAAGUGGAUUAGUGGCGGACGGGUGAGUAACGCGUGAGUAACCUGCCUUGCACAAGGGGAUAGCCGUUGGAAACGACGAAUAAUACCCUAUGAUAUGAUAGUCUCGCAUGAGAUUAUCAUCAAAGAUUUAUCGGUGUAAGAUGGACUCGCGUCUGAUUAGCUAGUUGGUGGGGUAACAGCCUACCAAGGCAACGAUCAGUAGCCGGCUUGAGAGAGUGUACGGCCACAUUGGGACUGAGACACGGCCCAGACUCCUACGGGAGCAGCAGUGGGAAUUUUGCACAAUGGGGGCAACCCUGAUGCAGCGACGCCGCGUGAUUUAGAAGGCCUUC
rnacentral:rRNA from 1 species